rnacentral:lncRNA from 1 species
GAGGCGCCAAGAUUCCGGUCAAGUAACUAAGUAAGAGACUGUUAAACCGCACGUGCCAAACAACACGAGGAAAUAAUUCGGAAUUUUGUCAAUGCAAACGACGCAGUAUCAUUUCUACACGAUCUGCUGCGUCUCCGGCUACUUCUUGUACUCAUAAACUGUGCAGUUUUGAGUAUCAAAGGCAGUGUGCUUAUGCAUUACCAAAAAUUCAAAGCUGCCCGUAAAUGAACGUAAUGAUCUUGGAGCCACUGAUCUUUCCAUGUGUAUGCUCAUCAUUCAUCAAUAGCACAAUCAACGGACAAAAAUGCUCUUUUUAGUCUAAAUAUUGGUUUCAACCAUCAAACUAAGGUAAAUUCUUGAGGAUAAAUAAUAUCCUAAUCUAUCUUAUUAAAACUCAAGUACAAAAUUGGACUGUUUGGAGACUUGAAUAGGACUUUUAAAAAUUUGGAGU